rnacentral:rRNA from 1 species
AUUAGACGAAUCAUCUGGAAAGAUGAAUCAAAGAAGGUAAUAAUCCUGUAGUCGAAAAUGUUGUCUCUCUUGAGUGGAUCCUGAGUACGACGGAGCACGUGAAAUUCCGUCGGAAUCUGGGAGGACCAUCUCCUAAGGCUAAAUACUCUCUAGUGACCGAUAGUGAACCAGUACCGUGAGGGAAAGGUGAAAAGCACCCCGGAAGGGGAGUGAAAUAGAACCUGAAACCGUGUGCUUACAAGUAGUCAGAGCCCGUUAAUGGGUGAUGGCGUGCCUUUUGUAGAAUGAACCGGCGAGUUACGAUUUGAUGCAAGGUUAAGCAGUAAAUGUGGAGCCGUAGCGAAAGCGAGUCUGAAUAGGGCGUUUAGUAUUUGGUCGUAGACCCGAAACCAGGUGAUCUACCCUUGGUCAGGUUGAAGUUCAGGUAACACUGAAUGGAGGACCGAACCGACUUACGUUGAAAAGUGAGCGGAUGAACUGAGGGUAGCGGAGAAAUUCCAAUCGAACCUGGAGAUAGCUGGUUCUCUCCGAAAUAGCUUUAGGGCUAGCCUCAAGUGAUGAUUAUUGGAGGUAGAGCACUGUUUGGACGAGGGGCCCCUCUCGGGUUACCGAAUUCAGACAAACUCCGAAUGCCAAUUAAUUUAACUUGGGAGUCAGAACAUGGGUGAUAAGGUCCGUGUUCGAAAGGGAAACAGCCCAGACCACCAGCUAAGGUCCCAAAAUAUAUGUUAAGUGGAAAAGGAUGUGGCGUUGCCCAGACAACUAGGAUGUUGGCUUAGAAGCAGCCAUCAUUUAAAGAGUGCGUAAUAGCUCACUAGUCGAGUGACACUGCGCCGAAAAUGUACCGGGGCUAAACAUAUUACCGAAGCUGUGGAUUGUCCUUUGGACAAUGGUAGGAGAGCGUUCUAAGGGCGUUGAAGCAUGAUCGUAAGGACAUGUGGAGCGCUUAGAAGUGAGAAUGCCGGUGUGAGUAGCGAAAGACGGGUGAGAAUCCCGUCCACCGAUUGACUAAGGUUUCCAGAGGAAGGCUCGUCCGCUCUGGGUUAGUCGGGUCCUAAGCUGAGGCCGACAGGCGUAGGCGAUGGAUAACAGGUUGAUAUUCCUGUACCACCUAUAAUCGUUUUAAUCGAUGGGGGGACGCAGUAGGAUAGGCGAAGCGUGCGAUUGGAUUGCACGUCUAAGCAGUAAGGCUGAGUAUUAGGCAAAUCCGGUACUCGUUAAGGCUGAGCUGUGAUGGGGAGAAGACAUUGAGUCUUCGAGUCGUUGAUUUCACACUGCCGAGAAAAGCCUCUAGAUAGAAAAUAGGUGCCCGUACCGCAAACCGACACAGGUAGUCAAGAUGAGAAUUCUAAGGUGAGCGAGCGAACUCUCGUUAAGGAACUCGGCAAAAUGACCCCGUAACUUCGGGAGAAGGGGUGCUCUUUAGGGUUAACGCCCAGAAGAGCCGCAGUGAAUAGGCCCAAGCGACUGUUUAUCAAAAACACAGGUCUCUGCUAAACCGUAAGGUGAUGUAUAGGGGCUGACGCCUGCCCGGUGCUGGAAGGUUAAGAGGAGUGGUUAGCUUCUGCGAAGCUACGAAUCGAAGCCCCAGUAAACGGCGGCCGUAACUAUAACGGUCCUAAGGUAGCGAAAUUCCUUGUCGGGUAAGUUCCGACCCGCACGAAAGGCGUAACGAUUUGGGCACUGUCUCAACGAGAGACUCGGUGAAAUCAUAGUACCUGUGAAGAUGCAGGUUACCCGCGACAGGACGGAAAGACCCCGUGGAGCUUUACUGUAGCCUGAUAUUGAAAUUCGGCACAGCUUGUACAGGAUAGGUAGGAGCCUUUGAAACGUGAGCGCUAGCUUACGUGGAGGCGCUGGUGGGAUACUACCCUAGCUGUGUUGGCUUUCUAACCCGCACCACUUAUCGUGGUGGGAGACAGUGUCAGGCGGGCAGUUUGACUGGGGCGGUCGCCUCCUAAAAGGUAACGGAGGCGCUCAAAGGUUCCCUCAGAAUGGUUGGAAAUCAUUCAUAGAGUG